rnacentral:rRNA from 1 species
AAAGCUCAAAUUUGAAAUCUGGUACCUUCGGUGCCCGAGUUGUAAUUUGGAGAGGGCAACUUUGGGGCCGUUCCUUGUCUAUGUUCCUUGGAACAGGACGUCAUAGAGGGUGAGAAUCCCGUGUGGCGAGGAGUGCGGUUCUUUGUAAAGUGCCUUCGAAGAGUCGAGUUGUUUGGGAAUGCAGCUCUAAGUGGGUGGUAAAUUCCAUCUAAAGCUAAAUAUUGGCGAGAGACCGAUAGCGAA